UUCAAACUUCAACAGGUUUCCUUUUCUUUCAGUAUCUAGCAAUAUUUUCGUUUCUCUUCUUGCUGUAAUUCUAUAAAUAUGGUUUGGUAAAGUUUCACUUUUGUAUGUAAUGUUAGCAAAAUAAAAAAUACAAAUUUAAAAACUAAAAAAAAAUAAAAUUAAAAACUAAAAAAAAAUAAAAGGUCAGUAUGGCUUUUAUUAUUUAAUUUAGGUAAAUUACACCAACAGUCACGCAACGUUGGGGUAGCUGACAAGACAGUCACUUAGGUUUCAUUUUAGUCACUCAACUUUCGAAAAGUUACAAAACAGUCAUUUUUGCUGUUUUCCGUCACAGACGUCACGACAAAGUGACAUGGCGGAUGACAGCGUCCUUGGUGUCAAAAAACUCUCCAGCUGGCCGGUUACUCUCAAUUUAACAGCCCUACCAGCACCAUUUUAGGGUUAGAGAAAAAGAAGAAGAAGAAAAAGAAGGAGAGGAGGAAAAAUGGAGAUGCCUAAAGUGAUUCCGGUGUGCUAUUGUGGAAACUCAGCCAAAUUAAACACGUCAUGGUCUAAUGACAACCCAGGUAGGAGGUUUUUUGGGUGUAAGAAAUUUGGCAGUGGGUUUUGAAAACCAUGUCGAUUUUUCACCUGGUUUGAUCCACCAUUGACGCCCCGUUCACGAAUUAUGUUGUUGGGUCUUCUGAAAAAAGUGAGGACAUUGGAAAAUGCAAG
rnacentral:lncRNA from 1 species